UCACCCCUCAAGCCUGGCUUGGUGUUGGACGUCUAGGUCGUGAGAGCGACCCGUCCCAAAGACAAUGACGGCGUCUGUUGGACCCUCGGUGCAAUGAGUUUCUCACGAAGCACGCACCCGAGUUGCAAGGUCCUUCAGCCCGGUCUCCUUAACAAUUUUAUCAA
rnacentral:misc_RNA from 1 species